GAAUUCUUCAAAGUAAAUCUUUUGUUAACUCAAUUGGUUUCACUUUGGUAUUGGAGGUCUUUUGCAGCUUCACACCUGCUCCUCUUUGUGCAUUAGCUGGAUCUCAGUGUUAUGCUUGGUUCCACUCGGCGUGAUAAAUUAUCUAUCGCUGAGGACACUGUAAAAGGUGGCCAAGGUAAAUGCAGAUGAACCGCUUCCAAUAGUCCAUUGACUUGGACAACACCUUUAUGAUCUGAUCUCAAAUCAGGUAGGACUACCCGCUGAACUUAA
rnacentral:misc_RNA from 1 species